GACGUAGGGUGCAAGCGUUGUCCGGAUUUGAUUGGGCGUAAAGAGCUCGUAGGCGGCUCGUCGCGUCGACCGUGAAAACUUGGGGCUUAACCCCAAGCCUGCGGUUGAUACGGGCGGGCUAGAGUUCGGUAGGGGAGACUGGAAUUCCUGGUGUAGCGGUGAAAUGCGCAGAUAUCAGGAGGAACACCGGUGGCGAAGGCGGGUCUCUGGGCCGAUACUGACGCUGAGGAGCGAAAGUGUGGGGAGGCGAACAGG
rnacentral:rRNA from 1 species